rnacentral:lncRNA from 1 species
GUAACAAGCGAUGGAUAACCUGGACCUGAACCCGACUGGGGAAAAAAGAGGAACCGGUGGAAAGGUAGCUGGUGGAGACGCGUCCUCGUGUGCGGAGCUCUGGAACCUGGAGCAGCUGAGGUGGAUGCGCUGCAGGACUGAAGCACAAACUCAGGGACACCCGGAUCAGUGCAGCCUCACGGCCCGUCGCGCUGAUAAGUGGGAGAACAGCAGGACUCCAGGAAUUCCUCUCUGCAUUAAUGGCCUCACGCUCCCACGUUGGACGUUUCCUUUAUGGUUUCUCUUUGGGAACGUUGAUCCCGUCCUGGCGCUGAAACAGAACCAGACUGGUCACAGACGGACUCCACGCCGUCUGCAUGAUUCAUGAAGUGUUUCAUUCCAGACUAAGAUUAAGCUGAUCGUUGCAACCAACGUAUUCCAUUGGUGGAGAAGGCUGGGAUUCUUCAGGAGCUUCCAGGAGGUCUGGCUUUGCUCACGCUCACUAAGAACUGGAGGCGCUCGUCAUGAAGCAGCAGGAAUUAAAAGUGUUUGAGUUGGAAGAACAACCCUUAAUGUGGAUAUUAAUUUCUUGCCUGAAUCUCUGUUUAUUUCAUGUGUUACAUGGGUACAUGACAAAGAAACAUAGAGGUUUGAAAGAAAUUACUUAGGAUCAAAGUUAUCUACUUUAAUCUUUAAAAGCACAUCUUGUUUUGAGUUCUGUCGUAAAGAUCAGGGUAAUGAUGAUGAGAUCAGAACGUGCGCAGAAAUCGCUCCAUUUAAAAAAGUCCAUUUAUCUGCAUGAAUUAUGGUGAAGGGCCGUUCUGUAACAUGGAGGCAGAGCCGACUAGAGCUGCUUCAGUCCUGUAGAGUUGUGUGGCCAGGAGGAACCAGCAAAUGAAACGACAACAUUAAAACUCAUUUUCUUCUCAGUUUCCUUCAGUUUGUUCCAACCACAGAAAAACAAACGAGCCGUUUACAGCCUCCAAAUAGCUUUAUUGUUCUUGCGACUGUCCCUAAAGGUUCAACAUGUGGGAAUGAAAGCUGUGGCUCCCUGCAGCCUCUGUGUUGGGUUCAAAGCCUCGGUGGCAGCAGCUGCUGAAACUCAUCCUCUGCUCCCACGCUGGUUAAAUCCUGAUGAUGGAUUAUGCUCAGUUGUUUUAUGGGACCUUAGUUAGAUCAGUACAAAUGGGAGCGUGGAGGUGUUUGUCCAAACGUAGCUUAAAGAUGUUCACCGUCACAAAUACUGAGCAGCGCUGCAGAUGUGUCACCAAAACCCAUCAGCGUUUUCUUUUCAUGUUUUUUUCCCGUGUGUUCAGUGCUCAGCUGAUUAGACUUUUACUGUAACAGUAGCUAAAUGGAUGAAGCCUGUGGCGAAGCAGAAAACCCUGCAGGCAAAGAGCCAAAGGCAGUGUUAG